GCCUUACUAACGGCGAGUGAAGCGGCAAAGCUCAAAUUUGAAAUCUGGCGUCUUCGACGUCCGAGUUGUAAUUUGAAGAAGGCGACUUUGUAGCUGGUCCUUGUCUAUGUUCCUUGGAACAGGACGUCAUAGAGGGUGAGAAUCCCGUGUGGCGAGGAUCCCAGUUAUUUGUAAAGUGCUUUCGACGAGUCGAGUUGUUUGGGAAUGCAGCUCUAAGUGGGUGGUAAAUUCCAUCUAAAGCUAAAUAUUGGCGAGAGACCGAUAGCGAACAAGUACAGUGAUGGAAAGAUGAAAAGAACUUUGAAAAGAGAGUGAAAAAGUACGUGAAAUUGUUGAAAGGGAAGGGCAUUUGAUCAGACAUGGCGUUUGCUUCGGCUUUCGCUGGGCCAGCAUCAGUUUUAGCGGUUGGAUAAAUCCUCGGGAAUGUGGCUCUGCUUCGGUAGAGUGUUAUAGCCCGUGGGAAUACAGCCAGCUGGGACUGAGGAUUGCGACUUUUGUCAAGGAUGCUGGCGUAAUGGUUAAAUGCCGCCCGUCUUGAAACACGGACCUCC
rnacentral:rRNA from 1 species